CGCAGGUGGUUUCUUAAGUCUGAUGUGAAAGCCCACGGCUCAACCGUGGAGGGUCAUUGGAAACUGGGAGACUUGAGUGCAGAAGAGGAUAGUGGAAUUCCAAGUGUAGCGGUGAAAUGCGUAGAGAUUUGGAGGAACACCAGUGGCGAAGGCGACUGUCUGGUCUGUAACUGACACUGAGGCGCGAAAGCGUGGGGAGCAAACA
rnacentral:rRNA from 1 species